AGACCCGAAACCCGGUGAUCUAGCCAUGGGCAGGUUGAAGGUUGGGUAACACUAACUGGAGGACCGAACCGACUAAUGUUGAAAAAUUAGCGGAUGACCUGUGGCUGGGGGUGAAAGGCCAAUCAAACCGGGAGAUAGCUGGUUCUCCCCGAAAGCUAUUUAGGUAGCGCCUCGUGAAUUCAUCUCCGGGGGUAGAGCACUGUUUCGGCUAGGGGGCCAUCCCGGCUUACCAACCCGAUGCAAACUGCGAAUACCGGAGAAUGUUAUCACGGGAGACACACGGCGGGUGCUAACGUCCGUCGUGAAGAGGGAAACAACCCAGACCGCCAGCUAAGGUCCCAAAGUCAUGGUUAAGUGGGAAACGAUGUGGGAAGGCCCAGACAGCCAGGAUGUUGGCUUAGAAGCAGCCAUCAUUUAAAGAAAGCGUAAUAGCUCACUGGUCGAGUCGGCCUGCGCGGAAGAUGUAACGGGGCUAAACCAUGCACCGAAGCUGCGGCAGCGACACUGUGUGUUGUUGGGUAGGGGAGCGUUCUGUAAGCCUGUGAAGGUGGCCUGUGAGGGUUGCUGGAGGUAUCAGAAGUGCGAAUGCUGACAUAAGUAACGAUAAAGCGGGUGAAAAGCCCGCUCGCCGGAAGACCAAGGGUUCCUGUCCAACGUUAAUCGGGGCAGGGUGAGUCGACCCCUAAGGCGAGGCCGAAAGGCGUAGUCGAUGGGAAACGGGUUAAUAUUCCCGUACUUGGUGUUACUGCGAAGGGGGGACGGAGAAGGCUAUGUUGGCCGGGCGACGGUUGUCCCGGUUUAAGCGUGUAGGUGUGUGUUCCAGGUAAAUCCGGUUCACUUUAACACUGAGGCGUGACGACGAGGCACUACGGUGCUGAAGCAACAAAUGCCCUGCUUCCAGGAAAAGCCUCUAAGCAUCAGGUAACAUCAAAUCGUACCCCAAACCGACACAGGUGGUCAGGUAGAGAAUACCAAGGCGCUUGAGAGAACUCGGGUGAAGGAACUAGGCAAAAUGGUGCCGUAACUUCGGGAGAAGGCACGCUGACACGUAGGUGAAGUGAUUUACUCACGGAGCUGAAGUCAGUCGAAGAUACCAGCUGGCUGCAACUGUUUAUUAAAAACACAGCACUGUGCAAACACGAAAGUGGACGUAUACGGUGUGACGCCUGCCCGGUGCCGGAAGGUUAAUUGAUGGGGUCAGCGCAAGCGAAGCUCCUGAUCGAAGCCCCGGUAAACGGCGGCCGUAACUAUAACGGUCCUAAGGUAGCGAAAUUCCUUGUCGGGUAAGUUCCGACCUGCACGAAUGGCGUAAUGAUGGCCAGGCUGUCUCCACCCGAGACUCAGUGAAAUUGAACUCGCUGUGAAGAUGCAGUGUACCCGCGGCAAGACGGAAAGACCCCGUGAACCUUUACUAUAGCUUGACACUGAACAUUGAGCCUUGAUGUGUAG
rnacentral:rRNA from 1 species